rnacentral:tRNA from 11 species
AGGGGAGUAGUUCAACGGAAAAACUUUAGUCUUCAAAACUGACAUCGUGGGUUCGACUCCCGCCUCCCUUG